GUGCUCAUUUCAACAGCACAUAUUCGGAAAGUGGAACAAUACAGAGAAGAUUAGCGCGGCCCCUGCACAAGGAUGACAUGCAAAUUCUAAAGUGUUCCAUAUUUUU